CUUUCACACACACGGACAGACAGACGACAAAGAAGCUCAUUGAUUAGAGGGUUUCACCAUGGACACGUUUGUCACAGAGACGUUGACUGCAUGGCAGCUUGAGAACUUGAUUGACACAUUUAAAGGCCAUCCACAGACACAAAGAAAGCCCUUGCCGUGGCAUUGGUGUA